AUUGAACGCUGGCGGCAUGAUUUACACAUGCAAGUCGAACGGUAACAGGCCGCCAGGUGCUGCCGAGUGGCGAACGGGUGCGUAAUGCAUCGGAACGUGCCCAGUCGUGGGGGAUAACUACUCGAAAGAGUAGCUAAUACCGCAUACGAUCUAUGGAUGAAAGCGGGGGACCGUAAGGCCUCGCGCGAUUGGAGCGGCCGAUGUCAGAUUAGGUAGUUGGUGGGGUAAAUGCUCACCAAGCCAACGAUCUGUAGCUGGUCUGAGAGGACGACCAGCCACACUGGAACUGAGACACGGCCCAGACUCCUACGGGAGGCAGCAGUGGGGAAUUUUGGACAAUGGGCGCAAGCCUGAUCCAGCAAUGCCGCGUGCAGGAAGAAGGCCUUCGGGUUGUAAACUGCGUUUGUACGGAACGAAACGGCUCUGGUUAAUACCCGGGGCUAAUGACGGUACCGUAAGAAUAAGCACCGGCUAACUACGUG
rnacentral:rRNA from 1 species